GUGUCAGCAGCCGCGGUAAAACGUAGGUCCCGAGCGUUGUUCGGAUUCACUGGGUGUAAAGGGCGCGUAGGUGGUUGUCUGUGUCUCAUGUGAAAUUCCCUGGCUCAACCAGGGAGGGUCGUGGGAAACCGAGAGGCUAGAGGGCAGGAGAGGAGAGUGGAAUUCCCGGUGUAGCGGUAAAAUGCGUAGAUACCGGGAGGAACACCGGUGGCGAAGGCGGCUCUCUGGGCCGAUCCUGACGCUGAGGCGCGAAAGCUAGGGUAGCGAACCGGAUUAGAUACCCGGGUAGUCCUAGCCGUAAACGAUGGGUGCUAGGUGUUGGGGGGUAAAGACCCUUCAGUGCCGAAGCUAACGCGAUAAGCAUCCCACCUGGGGAGUACGGCCGCAAGGUUGAAACUCAAAGGAAUUGGCGG
rnacentral:rRNA from 1 species